rnacentral:rRNA from 1 species
GGCGGCCCCCUGGACAGAUACUGACACUCAGAUGCGAAAGCGUGGGGAGCAAACAGGAUUAGAUACCCUGGUAGUCCACGCCGUAAACGAUGUCUACUUGGAGGUUGUGGCCUUGAGCCGUGGCUUUCGGAGCUAACGCGUUAAGUAGACCGCCUGGGGAGUACGGUCGCAAGAUUAAAACUCAAAUGAAUUGACGGGGGCCCGCACAAGCGGUGGAGCAUGUGGUUUAAUUCGAUGCAACGCGAAGAACCUUACCUACUCUUGACAUCCAGAGAAGCCAGCGGAGACGCAGGUGUGCCUUCGGGAGCUCUGAGACAGGUGCUGCAUGGCUGUCGUCAGCUCGUGUUGUGAAAUGUUGGGUUAAGUCCCGCAACGAGCGCAACCCUUAUCCUUGUUUGCAAGCGAGUAAUGUCGGGAACUCCAGGGAGACUGCCGGUGAUAAACCGGAGGAAGGUGGGGACGACGUCAAGUCAUCAUGGCCCUUACAAGUAGGGCUACACACGUGCUACAAUGGCGCAUACAGAGGGCGGCGAACUUGCGAGAGUGAGCGAAUCCCAAAAAGUGCGUCGUAGUCCGGAUUGGAGUCUGCAACUCGACUCCAUGAAGUCGGAAUCGCUAGUAAUCGUAGAUCAGAAUGCUACGGUGAAUACGUUCCCGGGCCUUGUACACACCGCCCGUCACACCAUGGGAGUGGGCUGCAAAAGAAGUGGGUAGUUUAACCUUUCGGGGAGGACGCUCACCACUUUGUGGUUCAUGACUGGGGUGAAGUCGUAACAAGGUAACC